rnacentral:rRNA from 1 species
AAACUAGGAUUAGAUACCCUAUUAUUAAAAAUUAAAAAAAUAAUACUAAAUUAUUAAAUAAUUAUUUAUUGAAAAUUAAAUAAUUUGGCGGUAUUUUAGUUCAUUUAGAGGAAUCUGUUUAAUAAUUGAUAAUCCACGAAUAAAUUUACUUAAUUUAUAAUUUUGUAUAUCGUUGUUAUAAAAAUAUUUUUAAAUAAUAUAAUAAUAUUUUAAAAUUUAAAUAAAAAAAUUAAAUUAGAUCAAGAUGCAGAUUAUAAUUAAGAAUAUAAUGGAUUACAAUAAAUUUAUUUAGGAUGAAUAUUGAUUUUAAACAAUUAAUUGAAGGUGGAUUUAAAUGUAAUUUUAUUUAGUUUAUUAAAAUGAUUAAAAAUUAAAAUAUGUACACAUCGCCCGUCGCUCUU